CUGCAAAAUGUACCCAGACUUAAGCUACACUGAGAGCACCACCACUGAGACUUUGGUUAUGGGAUUUGCACCUGUUAAGGCCCAUUUUGAGGGUUCUGAAAUGGGUUUUGGAGCUGAGAAUGAUGGUUGCAAGUGUGGAGCAAAUUGCACCUGUGAUCCCUGCACCUGCAAGUGAAGUUCAGAAUCAAAUCUUCAAGCAUAAAUGGUUCCAUUUAGUAGCAUGAAAUUAUAAUAAUAGCACUAUCAUAUGUGGUUACUUGUACUAAGUGUUAUGUGCGAGUAUGGUUUGUGUACUCUUAAGAGGUUUGGUUUGGCUACACCCUUUUAGAGAGUGUUAGAAUAAAGUAUCAAUGUAGUAAAACCUUUAAGCAAAUUCAUAUGUUUUUUGGAUUUUCGAUGGGCGUAUAUAAGUUUAGCUAAUCCUAUUAUCAAUCUCUUUUUAUUAUUAAUGAAAUCCUAUUAUUGUAUUAGAAAGUUGUGUUUUUAUUUCAAGACAUCAUUUUUUCCUGAUAAUUUCUAUCAUUUUUUAAGGUCAUAUUGCAUGACAAAUAGAAAAGAUGUGACACCAUAGUAGUUUGUAUUUAUAAGGUGGUCCAACUAUUUUUAAGGACAUUGAAGGAAGUUUUUUUUAUUAAGACUUGGAAUCUUUAUUGAGAUUUUUUUAAGAGUUAAUAAUAAUUAAAAAUUAAUAUGAAUUGACAGAGUAUAAAAGUGUGUGGUACUCACAUUUGAAGGGAAUAUUGUUGGGUUUAUUCAAGUGUGAAAUCUCACAUUGGAUAUGUAGGGAGGAGUGAAAGAGUUUAUAAGAAGGAAAGACACAUGAAACUAAUGCCUUGAGGUUUUGGUUCAAGACGUGGUGUCUCACUUGUGGUUGGAGGCUCCCCAGUAGCAGUCUGGUCCAACAAUUAUAAACAAUAUCACUUUUCUGCAAUUGAGCUCCACUACUAAGGAUUUUUGUCCUUCUUCAUCCUACAUAUUGGAAUCAGUGAUUGAUGGAUGAUAGGGUAAAUAGUAUAUUCAUUAGGAGAACAUCUACUUACUCUAUAAUUAAGUUAAAAAAAUCUACUCCUUAUUAAUUCUAUGAAAAUUUAAUGAUUCAGAUUAUUUAUGUUUUUUUAAGUUACUCGUGUAGAUCUAUUACGCUCUAAAUUGCUAAAUUAUCAAUUUGAAAUCGAUUGAAGCAUGAUCACGUCAAUGUAUUGGACCCCUUUAGUACACUUACACUAUGUUUAGUUUGGGGAAGAAAAGUUGAGGAAAGAAAAGUUAAGAGAAGAAAAUGAGGGGGAAAUAUGAUGAUUUUUAGUUGUUUGGUAUGAUAGAAAAUGGAAAGAAAGUUGAGAGAAAAUAUAAUUAAAAUUAAUGAAAAUCACAUGAUAAAAACACAAAAGCAUGAGUCACACUGUAUGAUUGUACUAGUUUGGUUUUAGGGAUCACAAAAAUACUCAAUCCAUAUACACCCACAAAUAUACCCAACCCGUACAUACCCAUAAAAAAUACAUAUAAUGAGUAUCUGCAAUAAUAAUUCAUAGGCGGAUACAAGUAUCAUGAUACCAUCUCAUAUGUAUGCGCAUAUUAUGAACUUAUUUUUUAAUAAAAUAAUUUAUUUAUUAUAAUUUUAUACUACUUUAAAAUUAUAUAUUUUAAUUAUUUAAUAAUAAAUUUUAAUUGUUGAAUAUUUCUUAUUAUUCAUCUAAUAAUUAUUUUUAUAUAUAUUAUUGUUACAAAAUAUAUAAUCAAAUUAUUAAAGUUGAGAAUCUCUUGAUACCUACAAAUAGUCGCUACCCUUGUGGGUACCUGCAAAAUGUGCUAGAUAUGGAUACGGAAAAAAAUACAUGUGUUCGGUGUGUCCGACUACCAUCCCUAUUUUUUUUUCACUAGAGUGACAAAGUUGUAAUUUGAUGUAAGAAAUAAAUUAAUUAUUUUAACAAAAUUGUAAUUUGAUUUACACUAUAUUUUUAGUGGCCCCAUUAUCCUUUUUUCUUUCCUUCCAACUAAAUGAUGGAAAAUAAACUUUUCCUCUACUUUUAUCUCCUCAUCUUUUCUUUCCUUCUAUUUUCAUCACAAGCAAACAUAGCCUUAAGGAUAUAUAUAUAUAUAUAUAUAUACCCUAUUUUUAAACUUUCAUUACAUUAACCACCAUGUAUAAGAAAGAAGUGUAAUCUUUUAAACAAAAAAUGUGAUAAAUGCAAUUAAGUUAAACAAAACAUGAUAUAUUGUGUAGGCAAGUCUAAAUAAUAUACAAAUCAAUGUAUCUUUAUUAUUUUUUGUUACAAAAUGCAUCAACAAUUCUAAAGAAAUAUUGUUUAAAUCGCUCUUAUAAUAUAGUGUAACGAACUAAAAAUAACAAAGAAAUAUUGACUCAUCUAUUAUUUGGACGUGUCUCCAUAAUAUGUCAUGUUUUGUUUAGCUUAAUUGCAUUUAUCACAUUUUUUGUUUAAAAGAUUACACUUAUUUCUUAUGCAGGGUGGUCAACGUAAUGAAAGUUUAAAAAUGGGAGAGGUUUGUAUAGGUGUAGAAAAGUGAGGGGUGAUUUAUGAAAUUUCACUAAAACUCAGGGGGUGUCAGUAUAAUUUACUCUAUAUAUUAAUCUUAAAUUGGUACAUUAUCAAUCUGAAAUCAUAAUAUUUGAUUGAAAACAUGUCAAUGUAGUGGGCCUUUUCAUUUUGUUGUCUCAUUUUCAUUGGAAUGAAUAUCAAUUAUCUCACUUUUUUUUGUCCAAAUUAUGUCUCAAUCCAAUUAAAAGUUUUUAUUUUCCUUUCUUACUUUGGAAGCAGUUACACCAAAACUGAUUAUGUUUGGUUAAGGAGAGAUAAUAGAAGGAUAGAAAGUGGAAUAGAAGAGAAUAUAAGGAUAGAAAAAUUAUAGAAAAUGAGAUAAUAAUUUUGUUGUUUGGUAUGAUUGAAAAUGAAAGGAAAGUAAAAGGAAAGAAAAUGUAUAUCUACACAUAAUUCAUCAAAAAUGACAAAAAUACCCUCGUUACUUUUAUAUAAAAAAUUAUGUAGCAUGUCUAAUUUUAAAAACUAUACUUUGUUGUUGCAAAUUACAAAAAUAAAUAAUUUUUUAUAUUAAUUUAAUAUAUCAAUUUUUGUUCAACAUAUAAAUUAUAAAAUUUAAUAUAACAAUUUUUGUUUAUAAAAUCUAAUGAAAAUCAUUAAUAUUCUAUAUUUUCUUGCCACUAAUCCAUCUAAAGAAAUCAUAACUCAUAUUUAGUAACCAUUUUUAUAUUUAUAAUCAUCUCAUUUUUGCACAUUUCGUUUUGUAUUUUUUAUUUAUUCAUUAUAUGUCAUUUUGUUCUCAAUUUUAGGAAAUUAUGUUUUGUUUUUCUUUUCACUACAUUUUUAUUGAACAUAUAUAAUUAUUAUUUAUUUGUGAGUUCAUAAGAAAAGAAAUUAAAAUUAAGUAAACUAAUUUCACAUAGAAUUAAAUAUAAACAAAUAGUAAGUUCACUAUAUUUUAUUUAUUUUCACCUAGAAUAUUGUACUCUUAAUUAACUUAUGGUGGAGGAUAAAUUUGCAAUCUUCCAUGGUUUUCUUUUCUUUCUCCAUUUUCUUCACAAAGUAGCAAUGUUAUGAAAUCUGAGCCGAACGUCAAACCGGAAAAAGUCACGUAUUAGGUUUAACCGGUUUAAACAGUUAAAUCAUUCGGUCUGACCAGAUGUUUUCAUACAUAAUUAAUAGUUUUUAUCUAUAAAUAUCAUUAUAUAUAAAUGUAAAAUUUUAUAUAGUUAAUAAUCAUGUAUAAUUACAUUAAAGUAACAUCCCUUCAUCUUUUUUUGGACUGGAGUAAAAUAUAAGAUGAAAGUAGUGUUCCAUUUUUUAAUUUUUAAGUCAAGCGUCCGGUUUACUUCCCGGGUUAAUCCGGAUUAACCGGGUUUAACACGGUCGGACAAAAAUUUAUCCGGUUCAAAGUGGUCCAACCCUCAUUCGGUUAAAACUGUAAACCAGAGUCGUUUUCAAGUCCGGUCAGCAGUCAGAUUGGUCAAGCAGUCUAGUAUGGUCCGGUUCUCAUAACACUGCAAAGUAGGGAAGAAAAGUUUUUUGUGGGCCUCAUUCAUGUUUUUUUCUUUCCUCCUAUUUUGUAUCGGAACCAAAUGAUGAGAAAUGAUAUUUUUCACUCCUUUUCUUUUCUCUUAUUUUCUCUUCUCUUCUUUUUCAUAGAAUCAAACAUAACCUUAGUGGUGGUGGGUACUACUUUCCAUGUUAGUGUUUCAAAAUUGUUUUUUGAAAUAUUUUGAGCUUUCAUAAUGGGGUCCCUAUCUAAUGGAGAAAUUGAAGUGUUGGAUAGUGGUUCCAACUUACGACGAGAAGUCAAGAAUAUGUGAAACUAAGAUGACAACUAAGGAGGUGACUUAAUUGAUGAGAGAAAUGGUCAAUUUUUCUGCAAUAUAUUAGAAUGUAAAAGCAACGGAAAAUUGUUGUAGAAAUUAACCAAGUUAAACUCAAAAUUUAAGCACAAGAAGAGGGUAGAAGAAGAAUACACAAAGAUUUUUAUAUUGGUUCACCUUCUUAUCCACCAAAGACUAUAUCUAAUACUCUUGCCACACAAGAGAUUUUUCAGCUAGAUACUUUGACUUGCAAUUACAACUUCUAUUAUGAGACCCUUGUACCUUACACAGUCACAAAUAUUUCUCCCUUGGAAAACAACCUUUCCAAGUAAAUUCUUCCCCUUACCACCACACCCUUGUGAUGACAAGUUUACAAUAUGAUGAAGAAUGAUAAUAAUGGUAAGAUUGUCUUUACAAUAUAUGACAAUGUUAUAACUUGCAAUCUUUUGACUCUUAAUAUACUUAGUAAACAAAUGCUCUUAGAAAGUGUUUAAGAAAACUUUAAGAACUUGCAAUUUAAACAACUUCUGAAAACUUCUGAGAAUUAACAUUGACAUAAUCAGUGGGGGAUGUUGACCUAGAGUUUAGGAGGGGCAAUAAUAUUUAAUUGUAAUUUGUAAUUAAGAUUAAUUGAAUAACAAAAAAAUAUAGAUAAUUAUUUCAAAGUUUCAAACUAACAUAUAAAUUCUAAAUAAUAAUAAUUAAUAAUUAAAAACAUAAAAAAAAUGUAUAUUUAUUUAAAGUGUCCUCUUAGUUAAAGACUUCAAUUCAUCUAUGAUCGAAUUAAGAGUAAAGAUUUCAGCUAUUUAUAUUUGAAUAAAUCAUAAUGUUAUCUACAAGAAAUUCAUAUUCUAUUUUACUACAAAAAUUUAUUUGUUGUAUUCGUUGCUGAAAGUUGUCUUCUUGUAGUAGUUACACAAUGAUAGUUAAGAUAAGACAAAUAACUUGAUCAAGCAAAUUAUAUGCCUUUACUUUUACUAUAUCAUCAAAGUUGCACUUUAUUCAAAGAUGAUUGAUAGUUUUUCAAGCAUGAAUUACUAACAACAUAAAUAAUAAAAGGUUGAAACUAACAUCUCAAACAAAUCAUUUCUUAAUCGCAUUGAAGUCCAUAGGUAUAUUUUGGCACAAAAAUACAUAUAUUAUAAAUAUUAAAUGAUUUAUAAAAAUACAUAGAAUAUUAGGACUUUUGAUGCAAAAGUUUGACAAAGACAAUUUAUGAUUUUAUAAUAUUUUCUUAAGUGCAACAUCAAUAUGAACUCAAAUGAAAUAAAAAUAUUAUAAUCAAUAUCGAUAUUUACACAUGUAAAGAAUUUUAUCUAUUAUCUAUAAUUUUUAGAAAAAUAUACAGUUUGUAUAAGAUAAAAAUAUAUAUUAGAAAAAGGUAAAUAAAAUUUUUAAAAUAAAUGAAACAAAAAUCCAGGGCAGUUGCCUCUACCUGCCAAAUCAUAUAAUAAUAUUCUUAAUACAAUAAAUAUUCACGUUAAAGGCAUUUAAAUUUUUUAUGUUGAGGUUACUGGGUAACGUGUAUUCACUAUACUGUAUAUAAAAUAUACAUAAUACAUUACUAUUAUUAUAUAAUAUAUUACUAUCAAUAUAUAAUUUGUUUCUAUUAAUAUACAAUAUAUUACUAUUAAUAUAGUUACUCUAGUAUGAAUAUAUAGUUUUGUAUGUAACAUAUUAUUGCUACUUUAGUUACUGUCGUAUCACGUAUGAAUAUAUAGUUAUGGCAGCACAAACAAAAAUAUAUAGUAUCAUUUACAAUUGUAAUUGUAAGUAGCUAUGGUAGGCGAGGCAAUGACGGACAACAAAACCAGCACCAGACAGUGACAGUAGAGGAGAGGCAAUAAGGAUGAUAGAGUGUUAAAUGUCAAACUUACCUUAAUUCAGAGGGCUAAUUUAGGACUUGUCAACUCUAAAUACUUACUUUAUGUAAUCAUAAUUGAGAUUUUGAUAAUAAAUUGUACUAAUCCCAUUUUCCAAGUUUCCAUGUGUGUUUUAGGCUGAAAAUAGGCUAAUUGGGCCAAGGAAUGGGCCAAAAUGGGCUAAGCAUGGAAAAGCCGAAACCAGCUAACCUACAUUUAACGCAACAUCUAAGCUCAACGCAUGAAGUGCUAAGCGUGAAAGUCACCAGGGUCAUAUGAGAGGAGGUGCACUCAGCGUACCGUUACUAUGCUAAGCGCAAGAGUCAAAAGUCAGAAAAUAAAAAUGAGAUCUUAAACACAAAAGGAAUGGAGACUGCAUGAGUUGAGUCUUAAAAUUCAAUAUCUAGGAUGAUUUUUCGUCUUAGUUUGUAGAUUUAUACAGUUGGAAACAUGAUGUAACAGUUAGGAGGUAGAAAUGGUGAAGUUCUAGUAUGUUCAUCGCGAAGCCGACACUUCUCCACGAACUACAAGUUCUGAAUUUUAUUUUUAUUGAGUUCUAUAUGAAAAUACUUAAUUAGAUUGCUUCUUAGCUGAGAUUGAUUAUUUCUAUUCAUUAGUAUUUUGGAGUUUGAUUUAUGAAUAAAAAGUUUUGAUUUUUAUGAAUUGUUCUUGUUGCAUUUUAAUGCUUACUAUGUGUUCGACGAAAUACCUAGUUCGUAUUAGGAAAAGAACUUUGUAAAUAAAUUUCCGUUCAAUAGUCCAAAGCAUGUAAUUCAUCCUUUUUGCAUAAAACUAGACAUAGUUGCAUGUUUAAAUGUCACGAUGAAUGUCUAUGUUCAUAUGUUUGCUAGACAUUGAUGCAAGUUUGAUGGUUCAUAUAUUGUAAUUUUAUCAAUUGAGUUGCUAGACAUAGAGCUAACAAUUUGAUAAAGUGUUAGCAUAGACUAAGACAUUAGAGGCUAAUACAUUUGAGGGCGUGCAUUAAUCUCAACCCAUAUGCAUAGUUUCUAGAAAUAGAGGUGUGUGUGAGCCAUAAUAUCUGAUCUUGUGUUUAAGGUUUUGUAUUUUUUCAUGAAUUGCUAAGCAGACUAGAGUAUUAGUUCUUAGCGUACUUGAGGUCUCAUGCUGUGUACAAUCACACUUAUUUUAUUUACUUUUUUUGCUCACUCUUAUUUUUUUCAUUUUCUCUGUAUGUCAUCCUUAUUUUGAUCAUCAAUCAAUUACUUGUGCAUAUAUAAUCUUCUGAUUUUCCAUUCUAUUAAGCACAUGUGAGUCACUUUCUAAACUCUCUUUCUUUAUACACUGUCUUAUGUAUAAUUAAAUCUCAAACUAUAGUCAAAAUUAUAAUAUUAUGUAUAAUUAAAUGUUCAAACAAAAUUAUAAUAUUAUGUGUACUAAAUACAAAAAAAAUAUGAUAUAAUUCUUUAAAAUGAAAUAUAUAAAAAUUAAAUAUUCAAUACUAGAAAAUAAAAUUACAGCACAGUAGGUAUGAAGUACAUAUCGACACGCUAGUACCAAUAAUCUUAAAACCAUAUAAUACUUCCUUCUACCAAACAAUCUUUAGAGGGUCUCAAAAUUGAAGAAUCGAUUUCACAUAUGACUAAAGGUUGUCAGACACGAAUGUAGACAUUUAUGUCCCAGGGUUUUCAACCAUAUAAUAGAUUUAUAUAAAGUUAUAUCAAUAUCAUUCAAUUAUUAUAUACAAUUUUAUAUUAUUUAACCAUUAUUAUUAUAAUUGAAUCAAACAUAAACUCUGUCAAUUAUUAGUUCAAUGACGAAAUUAGCAAGUCACUAGUUAGACUAGUUAAAUCGAUAUACCUUAAAAAUAAUUGAAGUUUUAUGGUAUUGUUAUUACACAAAUACUAAUUAAACAAUCAACAAAAAAAGUUUUACAAUAAAUAAAAUGUUACAAAUAAGUUGAAAAUAUUGUCAAAUAAUAUAGUUUUUUUACGAUUUAACUACAACAAAGUAUACAAAUAAGUUUAAACUUUAACUAAACAAAUUAGAAUUUGUUACAAUAUAAGCUAAAAGAUAAAAAAAUCGUAUAACGACAAACAUAAACACAAAUAAGUUGAACACAAAAAAUUAUUUUUCCUCACAAGACAUCAUUUUGAUGUUAAAUUUUAAAAAUUGGUUGAUUCAGCCAACGAGAGUAGUUAGAUCGACCAAGUUGCUAGUGUUUUAUGCAAAAUAGUCAAGUCGAACUAAUCAAUACUAGUUUUGGUUCAUAACCGUUCAAAUGAGCAAUUCAAACUAAUUAGAUGUUCAUUCUAGGUUAGAUCAUUCACUCGAAUCAAAUUUAAUAACACUACAUUUAUUGCAACUUACACCUCUGACUGAGGGUCCUAGAUACGCUAAAGUGUCAUUUAUCAUAAAUUUUAUUAUGUAUUUAAUGCUUCUAGUUUUUUUUAUGGUGUACUAAGUGUUUAUGUAAUUAUUGACUCUUAUUUUAGAGUCAUUUUAUUAUUGUUUACAUUAAAUUUAAAAUUACUAAAAUUGAUUUCAGUUUUCUCGGGAUUGGUGUUAAACAGAAACCUCUCUUUUUUUCAAUUCUGUGAACUACGAAACCACAUUUAUGUAGUAUAUAUAGAUGCUCCCACAUACAUUUUAGGCAUCGCCAAACUAGUGAGUGUUUAUUUCCAUGGAAAAACUAAGUGGAAAGUUACAACAAGUUCAUGGUAUUCACAUUAAGAAAGAAGAUGAAGAUAAUAAUAUUUUUGGAAAUUAUGAAUCUGCUAGUGUUUAUCAACACAAUAGGUCUAUUGACAACAAUCAACCACCACAAAUUGAAGACCAAGACCAAGGUCAUCUUUCUAUAGGACAUGAAAUUAAUUUUGAGGUAGACUCAUUUUUAUUCAUUCCAAUUGAAUGUCAUUUGUGUUUUUAUUUUAUUUUUUGUCAAUUUAAUUUGAAUGCUAGAUUAUUUGCUUGUCUUCAUUAUUGCCAUUGAUAUACUUAUAGAUUACCUUGCCAACUAUUAUUUUUCCUUAUUUUUUAUAUAAAAUUAAUACAUUGAAAUUUUGUUCACAGUAUAUGUUACAAAAAUAUUUUUAUUUUUCUUGUUUUUGGUUUAUUUAAAGGUGAAAUCAACUUCAGAAGAAUCGAAAGAGAUACAUGUAGUUGACAGAAUGCUGAAUGAGCAUGGAAGUGGUUUGGGUGAUGAUUUGAAACUGAAAAUUUCGCCUCAAUGCCCAACUUCAUGCAUCUCGUCGUUGUCAUCGACACCCUUUAACAAAACAUGUGCAUCUUCCAUGUUAGGUUCUAAUGAGAAUCUUAGUGAUGCUUCAAAAGAUGAGGAAAUAUCAUUCACUUUGGUGGGGUGUACUCGUUGCUACAUGUAUAUGCUGGUAUCCAAAGAUAACCCAAGAUGCAUUAUAUGCGGGAAUGGCAUGUUGAUUGACAAGUUCGAUUGAAUUCCAGAAAAAAAUGGUGCAAAGCUGAAUUUACUUUGUAUUUUUUUUCUUUUAAAAUUUCAGGAAGAUUUAUGUUUUCUAUAUGUUGUCAUUUGGUAAUAGAUUAUGUGGUCAUUUUACCUUUAAAUUACUAAAGGUUAUAAGGGAUUAUCAAGAUUAUGGAAGGUUGAGAUAAAUUCCCCAUUACUCCCUUCAUUCUUCGUCUUUUAUUUUCUAAUUUUAAAGUUUUUCUUUGUUUCAGAACUUUUAGUUUAACAUUUUUAAGGCUUAGACAUUCCAAUUUUUAUCCUCAUUAAAUAAUUAUAUUUUCAUCUUUACUUUAUCACAGUAUGAAGUAACUAAAGAAUAUAAUUAGGUUUCUACAUCUUUCAAGAGAAUAAUAUAAGAAUUUUAGUAAAAAAUACUAUAAAAUUGCAAUCAAAUUAAUAAUUCCUUAAUAAAUGUCUUAAUAUAUUAAAUUGAUAAUGAAUGAAGAGGGUAUAAAGAAUUGAUUAUUUGAGAAAGUUUGGUCGAAUAAGUUAUUAUAAUAUAAGCACAUAAAUUUAAGAAUUAGUUCAAUUUUAAUGCAUAUAAAGUGUUUUGAACUUUCAACUAAUCAAAUGUCCUUAUAUGUGAGACCUUUUAAGUUAGUUAUUACAAGAGCAUGUUAUUUGUUGUGAUUUGAGGAAACAUAAGAAAAUUCUUAAUAGAUAGCGAGCACAUGACAACUAUAUCAUUUAAAAAUUAAGUAUUAAAGUGCUUAUUAAUUAUCUAUCUAUUUACUAUCUAACAAAAAAACUAUUGUCGCAUUAGCAAUGAUACAUGUCAAUGCCAACUCUUGUCACAUUAGUAAGUGACACAUGUCAAUACUUUAUGCAAAAUUUUCCUCUAAAAAGUUAUCUGCCUCUUAUUGUAUAACCUCACCUCACACAUAAGAUGAAAAAAUUUCUUUACUGUUUGUUUCAAUUUAACAUUAUAGCUCAUUAUCUUUCUCUCACACUUUUUUCUAUUGUUCCAUAUUUUUCUCUCACAUUUUAUUCUAAAGCAUAAAAUCAUCUCUAUACUUUUUACUCCCUCAUUUCAUCACUUUUCUUAUCUUCCACCAAUUUUUUAUCUUCUUGGUUCGUAUUCUUCUUCCAUUUCAUUUUACCCUUGAUGUCUCUUAUUGUUGGUUCACCAUUGAAGCAUUAUUGUAGGUUAGUUUUCUAUAUAUUUGUGUAUCUAAUAUUUUGUUUGUAGAAUUUUCUACUAAAAAUAAUCAUUAUUUUAACAAAGAGCAUAUGGAUUGUCUUUACCAGGUUGUAAUAUAAUUGUUGAAAAUGACAUAUAGAUUGUCUAUAUCAAGUUGUAAUAUAAUUUUUUAUCUUUUUAUAUAGUUUAUUUUGUAUUAUAUUGUAGUUAAGACUUUCAAUCUGAUCAAUUCAAAAAUUGAUUCAAGAUCACAACUGUAAUUGAAUCAAAUCUUCUAAGAUGGAAAAUUAUGCAAUUUAAGAUAUGUUAUUAUUUGCAUUUAUUUGAGGUGAGAGAUUUUAUGCCAUGUGCAAAUUUGCUUAAUUAAUAUUUUUACUACGUUAUGAAACAUUUAUUGGUCAAUCAUUACAUAACGUUAUAUAAUAUUAAAGUGCAAUCAUUAUAAUAUUGAAUUGCAACCGUGUAAUAAUAUAUUUUCAUAAAAUUCAAAUUAUAAAAAAAGAAUUAUAACCGUACAAUUGUACCAUCAAAUUUAUAAAUUUUACUAUAUAUGUUUGUAAUUUUAAUUUUUCUUCUAUUAGUUCUAAAAGUACCAGCUAUAUUUUUAGCUAAUAAAUUAUAGUUUGAUAUUUUACACCUAAAAUAGAAUAACAAUAUUAGGAAAGUGGUUAAUUCAAAUAUUAGCAUAAUUCAAAUUAAAGUUAUUUCCAAUUCAUUAAUUUUAGACAUUGCUUAUUAUAGAUAUAAACGUAUAAUUAGUAUUUUCUUGAUUAAUAAUUUUAUUAUGUUAUGAAACAUUAUGAAAUAUCUUCACUACGUUAUGAAAUAUUUAUUGGUCAUGUACGUUAUUUUAAAAUUUAUUUAAUAUAAAAUCAAUAAAAUGCUUAGCAAAUUAACUUCUUCCGUACAUACAGUUACAAUACAGUCAUUACAUUAAGAAACAUUAAUAUGCAGUUGUUACAUUAUAUAAUAUUAAAGUACAAUCAUUAUAUAACGAUAUAUAAUAUAAAAGUACAAUCAUUAUAAUAUUUGAAUUGCAACAGUGUAAUAAUAUAUUUCCAUAAAAUUUGAAUUGUAAAAAAAGAUUUGUAACCGUAUAAUUGUAACAAAGAAAAUUUAUAAAUUUUAAUAUAUAUGUUUGUGAUUUUAAAUUUUCCUUUAUUAGUUAUGAAAGUAUCAACUAUAUUUUUAGCUAAUAAAUGAUUUGACAUUUUACAACUAAAAUAGGAUAGCAAUCUUAGCAAAAUGACUAAUUCAAAUAUUAGUAUAAUUACAAUCAAAGUUAUUUCCAAUUCCUCAAUUUUAGAUCAUGUUCAUUAUAAAUAUAAAUUUAUUAACAUUUAUUAUAUUUCUUAUUGUUACUAUUUGAAUACUACAAUAGUAACAUUGCAAUAUUAGAAUCAUAUCUAAACUAUAAAUAAAAUAUGUUCACAAUGAGUUCUAAUAUUAAGGAAUACAUAUUUGUUAUGAUUUAUAAAUAUUUUAUAUUACCUAUUAUAUAAUUAAGUAGUAUACAAAUUUAUACAUAUUUAUAAAUAUUUAUGUUUCCUUAAUUUUAGACAUAGCUCAUUAUAGAUAUAAACAUACAAUCAAUAUUUUCUUGAUUAAUAUUUUCAUUACGUUAUGAAACAUUUAUUGUUCAUGUAUGUUAUUUUAAAAUUUAUUUAAUAUAAAAUCCAUAAAACGCUUAGCAAAUUAAUUUCUUCCAUACACACAGUUACAAUGCAGUCAUUACAUUAAGAAACAUUAAUAUGCAGUUGUUACAUUAUAUAAUAUUAAAGUACAAUCAUUAUAUAACGAUAUAUAAUAUAAAAGUACAAUCAUAAUAAUAUUUUAAUUGUAACAAUGUAAUAAAUGUUUUCAUAAAAUUUGAAUUGUAAAAAAAAAAACUUGUAACCUUACAAUCAGUGUUAUAAAACUCGGCUCGAACCGGCCGGUCAGACCGGUUCAACCAUGAACCGGUCAUCUAACCGGUCUGAGUCUCUCAUCUAACCGGUUUUGUAUCAAAAUUGGUUUAACUCAGUUAGUUUAAGCGUAAAACUGAUGAUUUGGAUGAUCGGACCAGUUGGACCGGCCGAAUCAAUCAAAAUUAAAAAAAUAACCAAAUUGAUGAGGUGAAAAAGUCAAAUAUUUUUAAUUUAUAUGUAAUUAUCUUUGUCACUUGUUAUCUUACGUUAUAACGAAAUCUUUGUUGUUUAAUUAAAUUUUAAAUUUAUUGUACAUUUUUGUUGUAGUUAAAGCAUAGUUUAUAUAUUAUUUGAUAAUUUUUUCAACUUGCUUGUGUCAUUUUAUAGUAUUAAAAUUUUCUUUAUUGAUUGUUUAAUUAGGUACGCUAAUGUUUUUAAAUUUUGAGUAUACAAUUAUUAAAUGUUGUUAUACAAUAUCAUUAAUUUUUAGAAUUUUAAUGUAAACCGAGUUAACCGGUCCAACCAUUGACCCACUGGUUGGACCAGUGACUCAUUGACCCAGUACCCUGACCGAGUCAUUAACCGGUCCGAGUUUAAUAACACUGCUUACAAUUGUAACAAAAAAAUUUAUAAAUUUUAAUAUAUAUGUUUGUGAUUUUAAAUUUUCCUUUAUUAGUUCUGAAAGUAUCAACUAUAUUUUUAGCUAAUAAAUGAUUUGACAUUUUACAACUAAAUAGAAUAGCAAUAUUAAGAAAAUGACUAAUUCAAAUAUUAGUACAAUUCCAAUCAAAGUUAUUUCCGAUUCCUUAAUUUUAGAUCAGAUUCAUUAUAAAUAUAAAUUUAUUGUCAUUUAUUGUUUAAUUAUAUAAUAGGUAAUAUGAAAUAUUUAUAAAUCAUAACAAAUAUGUAUUCCUUAAUGUUAGAAAAUAGUAAAUUAUAUAAUAACAAUUUUUUUAUCAAAAUAGUAAUUUAUAUUAAUAAUAUUAUAAAAGAUGUUAUGAUGAUAUUGUGAGAUAAAAGAUAUGAUGUUAACCCUUAUUUAUAGUAAUACAAGACUUCUAAUUAAAUAAGGAGACAUAUCAUAAAAGAUAAAAUAAAGCAAUCUCAAUUCUAAAAAAUGUAUUAUAAACAGAUGUAAGAUAUAAUCAUAAGAUGAGAUGUUAUAUUUACAUCAAUGUUCAUUUAAAUAUCAAUCUAAAACAUAAUUUAAGAUACUUUCAUAUAUUCUAAUAAGGACACCUACAUAAAAAUGGAACAAUAACAAAAUUACUAAAAUAAUUAAAAUUGUUACAUAAUUUUCUAGGAAAAGUGCUUAAAACCCCCGUAAUUUUAUGCAAUUUGUAAAUAGGCACCAUAAACUAAUUUUUUUCUUCUAAUUAUCCAUUAAAAUUUAUUUGAUGAAAUUGGUCAUUACAUAAACAUAUCGUUAAAUUACUCAUAAAAAAUAAGGAUAACAUUGCAAUCAGAAUCACAAUAGUAGUAAUGCAACACUAAAGGUUAGCAGUGUUAGUAUCCAGAGGAAACCGCCUUCAAAAUAUAAAAUUGACUAUGAAGAAUACGAUAAGUAAAUUUUCAAAGUUAGAAGUGAUUAAUACAAUAAUAGUGUUAUAUAUAAAAAAAAUCAUUUAAAAGUCGAUGUUAAAAAGUGCAUGAGUUAGAAUUUGUCAUUAAUAUUAAUUUAUUUAACAUUAUCUUUAUGUACGAAUCAAUUUCACUAAUAGUUAAAGUUUAAGUGAUAAUUAAGAAGAAAAAAUAGUUCACGACAACUACUUAGAAAAUGUAUAAAGUUUAGGAUGGUUUUGUAAACAUUUCCCAAAUUUUUUAUUAGAAAUGUCUAAGAUAACGUAAGAAAAGUACUAAUAAUUCCAACGUUACAUCUUCCAAGAAUAGUCGCAUGUCUAUCAUAAUCUUUUAAAGGAUAUCAUAGUGUUCUACCAUAAAUCAUAUCUUUAGACAUACCAUUUAGAAUAAGAAAACAUUGGUGUAGCUUGAACAUAACCAAAAAUCUUAAUGAUAAUCCUUUGAGCUCGGUGUAUCAUAAAAGGGUAGUCUAGUGCAGGCCCUCAUACAUAGUGGGAUCUGAUAAUGAUAAAUGUGUGUAGUUUUACUUUUGCAAUUGAAUAGGUUAUCUUCAAGAUUUGAAUUCAUGACCUACGUGUUAAAGGACAAGCAAUCUUACAGAUGUGUCGAUUGCAUGGAUCAAAUAUAUCAUUCGCUGAUUUGAGGGGGGAAUGACAAUUUUUUUAAAUUUUAUUAAGUCAUUAGCCGAUCUCAGCAAGUGGGAUUAAGGUGAGGUGAUUGUUUUAAUAUAAUCAUUGUGUCUUGUGAGUCUAAUACAAACUAACAUCUAUCAAUUUUCCCAGCGUUCAAUCUUCUUAGUUCCUGUCUUACAAGAAAUCCUUGUCCCCAUAGAGAACGAUUAUGAUUUAUUGCUCUUCUAUGUGGAGUGCACUUUAGGAUAAAUCAAUGAUUAUGAUAUUAACAAUUCCAAGGAUUGUUAUACGUCUACAAACAUAUUAUCACAACCACUUCAAUGCAAUUUAGAGGAGUUAAAUCCAAAUACUCCAACAUAAUGAAUUUUAUCUACAGAAAAAUUAACGUUAACACAAAAUUCACUGAACCCUCCAUUCCAUAAAGUAUCAAUGAUACACUACAGCAACAAUUUGAAGACAACCCAUGAUAACAAGAACUGAAAUUCAAUUAAAGACAUUAUAGAACAAUAAAAAUCAAAACUUGCUGGAAUGGGGAUUCUCCAUAGUCUAGUAUCAGUGAAUGUUCAACAAACUCAACCAAUGCCUGAACUUGUCCACAGUAAUCGGUUUGAUUAACAUAUCAGCUGCAUUUUCUGAAGUGUGAACCUUCUGUAGUAGUAGCUGACCACAAGCUACCAACUCUCUAAUCUUGUGAAAUUUCAUAUAAAUAUGUUUGGUCUUUGCAUGAUACACCUGGUUCUUUGCCAAGAAGAUAGCACUCUCAUUGUCACAAUGCAGCGGAACUCCAUCUUGCUCAAUGCAUAAUUCAUUUACUAGCCCCAUAAGUCAUAGGGCUUCCUUAGAAGCUUCACUAGUUGUCAUGUACUCUGCUUUAGUUGUGGACGUAGCAACAACAGACUGAACUGAUGAUAUUUGAUCCCCUUCUAGAAGUGUGUCUCACCACUAGGGAGAAAAUCUCAUUAUAUUCGAUCCCCUUCUACUGUGAAUACCCUUUUGCUACAAAGCGAGCCUUGAACUUUUCCCCUUCUUUUUUGGAUAUUGUUGGCUUCUUCUUGUACACCUACUUGCACCCAACUAAAAGCUUGUAUGGGGACAAGGGGAUAAGGUCUCAAGUUUGGUUCUUGUGUAAAGACUUCAUCUCCUCCAUCAUGACAUCCAUCCAUUGUUCUUUCUCCUGUCUGCUUAUAGCCUCUUGAAAGCUACAUGGAUCUCCUGAACUGAUAUGGAGAGCAACUGAAGCCAUAUCCUCAAAGUCAUAUCUCUCUAAAGGUUUGAUAGGAUGUCUAUCCCUGUCUCUAGCAAGUAGAUACUCCUACACACCUAAACUCUCUACAUGAGAAUCAUCGCGUUCUUGACUUGAACUAGUGCAUGGUUCCUUAUCUUUAUUCACCUGAACUAUUUCAUUGCUCACUGGAAUCAUAUUUGAUCCCAAAGUCUCUCUAUUUGGCAUGGGCACCUCUGUUAAAACUGAUUGUUUCAGCAUGAAAUCUUCAUCAAACACUAAAUCUCUACUCAACACCACUUUUUGGAAACUGAAUCCUAGAACUUGCACCUCUUCACACAUUUGGCAUAUCCAAUGAAAAUACACAUCUUUGACUUGUGAUCAAGUUUAUAUUGUUCAUCAUUAGGUACAUAUACAUAAGCAUAAUAACCAAAUAUGUGUAACAUAUUAUAAUUGGUUGGGUUACAUGUCCAUACUUCUUCUGCAACUUUAUCAUCUAAUGAAGCUCGUGGUGAUCUAUUGAUGACAUAGCAUGUCUAAGUGCCUCUUCUCAAAAUCCUUUGGAAAAUCCAACAUUCAGUCUCAUACAUCUGGCCCUCUAUAUAAGAGUUUCAUUCAUCCUCUCUGCAACACCAUUCUGUUAAGGAGUCUUCUUCAUUAAAAAAUGUCUAUGAAUAUUAUGUUCCUCGCAGAAUUUCUGAAUCUAUGAGUCUUUGUACUCUAUACCGUUGUCUGAUCUCGUGUAUUUGAUUUUUCUACUAGUCUGGUUCUCUACUUCUACCUUUCAAACCUUGAACUUGGCAAAGACUUAUGCCUCGGAAAAUAUACCCAGACUUUGUGAGAAAAGUCAUCAACAAAGGUAACAAAAUACCUAGAACCUCCUAGGUAUGGUUUCUGAGUGGGUCCUCAUACAUCAGUGUGGACAUAGUCUAGAAUGUCCUAAUUCUUGUAUUGGUCAGCCUUGAAACUAACUCGUGUUUAUUUCUCAAGCAUAUAAUACUUGCACAAAACUAGCUUGCAUUUCUCAAGCAUAUAAUAUGACCCAAAUGCAUGUGCCAUAAUUUUGUAACAUCAUGAUUUGAAUCUACUGAAAUCUCCUCAGUCACUCCAGCAACUCCACCUACAACUGUUCUCCCUAACAACUUGUAAGUGUUCCCAACAGUCCUCUUAUCCUUCAUUACAGUCAAAGCACAUUUGCAUACUCGAAGAAUAUCAUUAUCUUCAUUAGCUCUAUAGAUAAAUCAUUUGGCCUAUAAUGUCCUCAAAGAAAUCAAAUUCUUCUUCAAAUCUGGUAUAUGCUUAACCCCACAUAACGUUUUCAUUAGAUCAUCACCCAUCACAAUUCUGAUUUCUCCUAUGCUAAUAACUGCAUAUGCUUUAUUAUUUCUGAGAUACAAGAAAGCAUAAUUGUCUUCCCUGUAUGUUGUGAAUCAUUCUUUGUUUGGCGUCAUGUGGUGGGAACAACUAGUGUCAAGUAUCCACUGUUUUGCAUUAUAAUUUGAUGAUACAUAUAAUAGAUCACCUUCACUGUUGUAACCAGAGUCAUAUUUAUGUGCAACAUUUGUAAUGUAGAUACUCCAUCUUUAUUAUUUUCCCUUUGGCAGGACCUCCUCUGUCUUGUCUCCUCUCACGCGUUUGGCUCCCUUUCACAUAUAGACCAUCACCAUGAGACCAUUCCCCUACAUUCUGUCUUUUUUGAGUGUGGGACAGAAGUACAGAUGUGAUCUCAUCUAGUUUGAUUGAGUAUUUCCUAUAUGUCAAUGUUGUCACCAAGUGUUCAUAGGAAUUUGGCAAAGAACACAGUAAUUUAUUGAUUUGUCCUCAUCAUCAACCUUCAUAUCAAGUUUAUGCAAAUCGUUGAUCACUUCAUUAAAAGUGUUGAGAUGUUGUUGCAAUUAGUACCCUCCUACAUCUUUAGGCAUAGAGUCUCUGUUUCAAAUACAACUUAUUUGUUAGAGACUUGGACAUGAAACGUUUUUCUAAUGUCUCUCAUACCUCUACUGGUAACGUCAAAUCCAUAACAUGAUACAUCAUCUCAUCUAAUAGGCAGAGUCGUAUAGUUCCUGUAGUCUUCUCCUUCAACUCUUCCCAAUCUAGUUGAUCCAUAUCAUAUGGUUUAUUCUCACGCAGCGCUUUUGCUAGACCUUGUUGAGCCAACACAUUCUUAACCCUCCUUUGACACAAUCCGGAAUCACUAGUUUUAUUGAACUUCCCCACCUCGAAUUGGCAUAUGGGUUAAGAGCCAUCUGAUAUCAAUUGUUGGGAAUAAGCGAACAAUCAAAUAGUAAAAGAGAUCGGGAAAAGAGAAUAACACAAGGAAAUUGGUAAAGAGGUUCAAUCAAUUGUGCUUACAUCACAGGAGCGUUGAGAGACUGCCACUAAGUAUUAGAGAAUUAGGAUUUGUGUUUAGCUAUUGUUAUCCUUGUUAUAUUAGAUUUACACAACAUAAAUAUAUAGUCAUCUACCUUAACCAUUUACAUUAGUUCAAGCUCAUAACUUAUAUUGCUAUUAUCUAGAGAAUGACUCAUUGCACAACAAAUUUAUUGGUUAUAAUGAUCAUUAUAAUAUCAUAUUAUUUUCAUAAAGCUGAUGUAUGAUUAAAACAAGUAUUUUGUCUAUGGCGAAUAAAGUAUAAGACUCUUUAAUGUUAAGUAAGAAAGUGAGCCCAAAAAAUAUUCUGAAUUCAACUCCUUAAUAAGUAAGGAGUUUCAGAAAAAUGUAUCUUAUGUUUUCAUCAUUUAUAUAAGACAUCUUCUUAUUCAAAUUUUAUUAUAAAAUUAUUACGUAAUUAAAUUAUUUUGAUAUAGUUAAAAAACUUUACAUGAAAAAGCCAACCAUCCACUCAAAUCUGAGCCGUUAAUACCCCUUGAUAAUGAAAUAUCUCAUCCAACGGCUAAUAACUUAGACAGAAAAUAUACAUGAAAGAACACUUAUGGGGAUUUGUUGUUCCAAAAUGUCUUUAACCACGCCCCCUGACCAAUUACAAUAAAAUAAAAUUGAUAAAGUUAUGAAUUUUUAAUUUUUUCUAACUGACAUAAUAUGAUUGGUCUGAAACAAGAUUUGGGACAACAGAUCCUUGUCCGAAAGAACACACCAGAAAACCACAUUAAUUCUGCAUAGAAAGACAAGUGUAUGAGGAAAACGAUGAUAAACGUGGAACAAGACCCGCAAUGGAUUUAGAACCAUCGUUACAUUCUAACACGUGUAUGGUAUAGAUCUAACGUUCUCUCUCCUCAAACUCGUUAUAAAUUGAGUUCAUUGCUUCUCAUUGAAACUCAUUCAAGUGAGUUAGAUAAUUGUUGUGAUUCUUCAAGUGAGUUUUGUGUUUUUCUUUCUCUGAAACUGAAAAUGUCUUCUUGUUGUGGAGGUAACUGUGGUUGUGGAAGUGGCUGCAAGUGUGGAAAUGGAUGCGGAGGGUGAGAUUUUUAUGCAUUUUCUUCAUUUUCUAGUGAAAUGGAAGCUGGAUUUUUUUGAGUUUUGAUUGAAUAUUCUGGAUACCCUUUUGUCUAAAUUGUGUAAAAAUGAAGUUUUUUUUUCAUUUGCAUGGGUUUAUUUAUAUCUUUGUUUUUCUCAGAAAAUUGAAGUUUAAUUUUCUGGGAUACUUUUGUUCUUCAAUGUUUUGGUUGGUUGGCUUUUUUUGUUAUACCCUUUUGUUUAAAUUGUAUAAAAACCAAUGCUUUAUGUUUUUUUGUUAUACCCAUUUGGUUCAAUUGUAUGAAAAAUUGAUGCUUUUGUUUUGUUCUUACAUGGAUCAGAUUUUGGUCACGUAGACCUUGUUUUGACAACAAACAAAAAUAUUGUCUUAUUUUCCUGGAACAAUUGUUUUCGGAGUAUUAAUUUUUUCCCUGGGUACCCUUUAUGCUGAAUUUUAUGAAAAGUUAAUGCUUUUUUUUUUGUCUUGCAUAUUUGUCUAGAGGCUAGAUUCUUUAAUAAUCACUUUGUUUCUAUUUUGAUUGGCUUUUUGGGUACCCUUUUACUUAACCCAUGUCUUGAUAACUCACUGAGGUGUUUAUUUUUCUAUAAAAUGUUUCUAGUAAUCUUGAUAUAAAAUAUCUCUUGUUUUUGUUAUGAGAAGUCUUUGUUGAUUUUCCAUGUGCUUCUGCAGCUGCAAAAUGUACCCAGACUUAAGCUACACUGAGAGCACCACCACUGAGACUUUGGUUAUGGGAUUUGCACCUGUUAAGGCCCAUUUUGAGGGUUCUGAAAUGGGUUUUGGAGCUGAGAAUGAUGGUUGCAAGUGUGGAGCAAAUU
rnacentral:lncRNA from 1 species